UACAGAGGUCUCAAGCGUUGUUCGGAUUCAUUGGGCGUAAAGGGUGCGUAGGUGGCGGGGUAAGUCAGGUGUGAAAUCUCGGGGCUCAACCCCGAAACUGCACUUGAUACUGCCUUGCUCGAGUACUGGAGAGGAGAUUGGAAUUUACGGUGUAGCGGUGAAAUGCGUAGAGAUCGGGAGGAACACCGGCGGCGAAGGCGGCUGCCUGGACCAGUCCUGACGCUGAGGCGCGAAAGCGUGGGGAGCGAACAGG
rnacentral:rRNA from 1 species